rnacentral:tRNA from 1 species
AAAGAAUUAGUUAAAAUAUAACAUUAAAUUGUCAAUUUAAAAUUAUUAAUUAAUAUAUAUAUAUAUAAUACUCUUUC